rnacentral:tRNA from 1 species
GGAACAGCAUGGCAUAGUGGUUUGAGUGUUGGACUGUGACUCUGGAGACCAGGGUUUGAUUCCCAGUUCAGCCA